GGCGGUGUAGCUCAGCUGGCUAGAGCGUACGGUUCAUACCCGUAAGGUCGGGGGUUCGAUCCCCUCCACCGCUA
rnacentral:tRNA from 1 species